ACGAAGGGUGGCUCGCUCCUUGCACUACACACAUGAACAUACGUCGAGCGAGAAACGGGGAGCUUGCUCUCCGCUGACGAGCGGCGGACGGGUGAGUAAUGCUUAGGAAUCUGCCCAGUAGUGGGGGAUUGCCCGGGGAAACCGGGAUUAAUCCCGAUUACGUCCUACGGGAGAAAGCGGGGGAUCUUCGGACCUUGCGCUAUUGGAUGAGCCUAUGUCGGAUUAGCUAGUUGGUGGGGUAAAGGCCUACCAAGGCAACAAUCCGUAGAUGGUCUGAAAGGAUGAUCCGCCCAAUCGGGACUGAGACCUGCCCAACCCCUACAGAAGGAGGUCGCUUUAUUUUGGACAUGGGGCAACCCUUAUUUUCCAGGCGCGGGGGGGGGACCGCCCUCCGUUUUACCAUUUCCCGAAAACA
rnacentral:rRNA from 1 species